rnacentral:lncRNA from 1 species
CCCAAAAGGAAAGCAACACACAGAGUAUGUACAGCAUGGUUAGCUAUGACCCAUGCAGCAUGCAUCCACAUAUAUAAAGUGCGUAGUAGCUGAUAGUGCCUUUGUAGUGGUGAAUAAUUCUGUUAGGAUUGCGCUAUCUUUUUGGUUAUUAUUGUCGGGAACUUGUUCCCUAGUAGUGAGUAUAUAAGGGUAUGUAUCGCCUUCUGCAAGAAGGAAUGAAAAAUAUCAGAAAAGUCGCCUCUCUCUCUCGCUCUCGCUCUCCUUCUUCUCUUAUGGAGGUUCCUAGCCCUUGAAGCUAGUUCUCUUUCUCGUGCUUGGUUCCUAACAUUUGGUGCUCUCGUUGAGAGUCCAUGGCCGCCAUACCCAUUUCCACACACCUUCGUUGCCGCACACCCCUCCUCCCUUUGUACAUCCAGCUCAAUCCCUUGGGAUUGAUUUUGAGAGUACCCGCAAACAUUUGCUGAGCUUGUUCGAUCCCGAGAGAACCCUUCCUUCAUUUCAGCAACCACCAAACGGAGCUUCCAUGGCUGCCACUUGCCAUACGGAGCUUCCAUGGCUGCCACUCGCUGUACGGAGCUUCCACCUUCCACUACCACCACCCACACUACUUGUCGCCAAACGAAGCUUCAAUGGCUGCUGAGGACCGCCUUGAGGUCGCCUUGGCCAAACUUGAUGCCACUACAUGCCGCCUCGACUCCCAACUGGACGCCCUUCUCCUUAAACUGCCUCCGAGAACCAACCACCACCUUCCAUCUUCUUCCUUUGCGCAGUCACCACCGCCGCCUUCGCUUUCCAUACCGACUUGGCCUCCAUGCUCCGCACCCAUACAACCAAGUCCUGCACCGUUACUGCCUCUAUCACAGACUCCGCCACCUUCGUUGUUGCCUCCGCCGCUCAAGCCAACUCCAUCACCCAGGCUCACCGCACCCACGACCGUGCCACCUCCACCAGCCAUGAUGCCUCCGCUGCCCCCUACGCCACCACUUCCGCCUUUGGUACCCAUACAGCCGCAGCCAACAACCUUGCCGGGCCCGCUUCCUAUGCUGGUUUUUCAUCUGUCCGGUCUCGUUCGCACCACCAUUUCCUUCAACAAGCUCUUCACCAUUGUUCCUCCUUAUGGGGCUGCCAUGGCCGCAUACAAGCUCCCAUCAGUGGUCGUUGCAUUAUGCACAACUACUAAACCAGGUGCAAUUCGCCGAAAUAAACCUUGGGAUCCUGGUAUCACUUGUGGAGGCAAUGCGUGGAACCCCAACACCUUGAGGACAAGGUGUUUUUGAUGAGGGCGGGAAUGAUAGGGAUAGUAAUAUGGGACUACAGGAAGUAAGGGGUCUGCAAGAAGCAAAAAGCAUGAGUGAGACCCAAAAGGAAAGCAACACACAG